GCACCUGUAGCUCAGUUGGCUAGAGCAAUCGUCUUGUAAGCGAUAGGUCAUGGGUUCAAGCCCCAUCGGGUGCU
rnacentral:tRNA from 1 species